GACGAACGCUGGCGGCGUGCCUAACACAUGCAAGUCGAACGGAAAGGCCCUGCUCUUGUUGGUUUCUCGAGUGGCGAACGCGUGAGUAACACGCGAGUAACCUGCCCUUGACUUUGGGAUAACUUCUCGAAACUGGGGCUAAUACCGCAUAUGAGCUCUUGCUGCAUGUUGUGGGUUGGAAAGAUUCGGCGUUUGUGGAUGGACUCGCUGCUUAUGAGCUUCUUUGUGUGGUAGUUGCUUACCAAGGUUGUGACGGGUAGCCGGCCUGAGAGGGUGACCAGGGACAAGAGGACUGAGAGAGGGACCAGACGGGAACGGGAGGCAGAGGGGGAAAGUAUGACACAGUAGGGGGGAGCCAGAGACAAAAACGCCGGGAGCGGGAAAACGGGUUACGAGGUAAGAACAGAUGUGGAAGGAAACAAAGAGGGAGUGACGGUAAUGAGUAAGAAAGCACCGGCUAACUACGUG
rnacentral:rRNA from 1 species